rnacentral:rRNA from 1 species
CUAUACUGUGAAACUGCGAAUGGCUCAUUAAAUCAGUUAUCGUUUAUUUGAUAGUACCUUUACCUGGAUAACCGUGGUAAUUCUAGAGCUAAUACAUGCUAAAAACCUCGACUUCGGAAGGGGUGUAUUUAUUAGAUAAAAAACCAAUGCCCUUCGGGGCUCCUUGGUGAAUCAUAAUAACUUAACGAAUCGCAUGGCCUUGCGCCGGCGAUGGUUCAUUCAAAUUUCUGCCCUAUCAACUUUCGAUGGUAAGAUAGAGGCUUACCAUGGUCUUAACGGGUAACGGGGAAUUAGGGUUCUAUUCCGGAGAGGGAGCCUGAGAAACGGCUACCACAUCCAAGGAAGGCAGCAGGCGCGCAAAUUACCCAAUCCCGACACGGGGAGGUAGUGACAAUAAAUACUGAUACGGGGCUCUUUUGGGUCUCGUAAUUGGAAUGAGUACAAUCUAAAUCCCUUAACGAGGAACAAUUGGAGGGCAAGUCUGGUGCCAGCAGCCGCGGUAAUUCCAGCUCCAAUAGCGUAUAUUAAAGUUGUUGCCGUUAAAAAGCUCGUAGUUGAACCUUGGGCCUGGCUGACCUGUCCUCCUAAUCGAGCGCACGGGUUCGGUCGGGCCUUUCCUUCUAGGGAACCCCAUGCCCUUCACUGGGUGUGGUGGGGAACUAGGACUUUUACCUUGAAAAAAUUAGAGUGUUCAAAGCAG